UUUUUUUGGCUUUUUAGGGUCACACAUGUGGCAUAUGGAAGUUCCCAGGCUAGGGGUGAAAUUGGAGCUGCAGCUGUUGGCCUACACCACAGCCACAGCAAUGCAGGAUCCAAGCUACAUCUGUGACUCUACACCACAGCUCACAGCAAUAUCGGACCCUUAACCCGCUGAGCGGGGCCUGGGAUCAAACCCACAUCCUUAUGGAUACUAGUUGGGUUCAUUACCCCUGGGUCACAAUGGGAAUUCCAAGGGCUAACUCUUCAAUGCCCAAAGCUCCCUCUAUACCCAGCACCCUCCUCCUGCACCAUUUAGGCUUUAAGAAGCUGCUGCCAGAAGUGCUCGUCCCUGUCCCCCCAACUCCCUCAACGCCUGCCACAGGAAGCUCAGGAGUGGAGGCCCCCAAGGCCAUGACCCUUCUAGUGCCACAUCCACUGAUUCAGAACAGUGAUGAUGAAGGAAGGUUUGGCUGUCCUGGGCACUGUCCCCUCCUGUCCCUCCUCCCAAAGGUAAACCAACACCCCCACCCCACCCCCAUGUUGAUCUCCACAUCAGGGACCACUUCCUUGGGAAUAACAACCUCGGACCAAUCUUCAUGCCACGUUCAAAAUACCUGACAACCAGCCUGAGGGAGCGGCACCCACCCCCCACCCCUGCUCUGCCAGGAGAGGAAUUGGAUGGAUGACAGGGGCAGGGGGACACAGGCUCUGUACCAGCCCCAAGGAAAGGAUUUCUAUGUCCUCCAACUUCUCAAAUGUGGGCCACGGCUGCACCCCCAGAGCCCCUGAGAGACGGGCUUGGUGAAGAACGGGUGGACAGAAAAAUGGAUGAACAGAGUAGGUGAGUGGGUGGUGGAUCCUCUGACGAGAAGCAGGUCAGGCAGGGAUGGUCACCCGCCAGCCCUGCCGACCUCUGAGCAGCGGCCACCUCCCAGCCUCCGGCUUAAGUUCCCUGUGCUCCAAGGCGGGAGGAGAAUGCAGCUCCCGACUCCAGGGAGAGGCUGGCCGGGUUUUAUUGCUUUUGUACAAAUUAUAGCUGCUCGGAAGUGGCCCAAGGAGCAGGGUAAUGGAUGUCAUAAACCUGCCUCAUAAAGACAGAGUUUGUGCCACAGGGCUGCACAGGGUGGCUUAGCAGAGGCCUGGAGCAAGUGGACAGCUCUGUGGUUCAGGGGCUAUGGGCACUGAGCUGCUAAUGGGGGUGUGUGGGUGGCAGGCAGGUCUCAGGACGGCUCAGGGCACCCCCGGCACCUGUCAGUCCUCCCAUGCUUCACUAAAGCUGAGUCCCCCACCAUGUGCUGCACCUCAUCUUUAACCUCCACUGUCCCCAGCUCCUGGGGGCAAAGCUGGCAGGUGACCUGCAUGCGACCACCCAGAUACCCUGCGCUCUGUACCCCACCACAGGGGGUCACCUGCUCUGCCCUCCUGAGCCCCAGACCUAGAGCUCCCAGAAGGCAGGGUUGUGCCCCUUCUGCCAGAGUGGGUGACAGUGGAGCCAGGAGCCACAAGGACCACUUCCAGGAGAAAGGGGUGGCGGGAGGCACACGCGUGUCAGCACACACGGCUGCAUGGCCUUCAGCCUCUAGGUAUGCCAAAUAGCUGCUGGGGCCAACGGGCUACUGCCCAGAGCUUUGGCUAGAGCUCGGCUGGCCUGGCCCAUCACUGUGCCAGACAGGGCCUGGCCCACGGCAGGUGCCUGGCAGAUGUUUGUGGGGUGAUAUUAGCGGUCACACGCGUGGGCAUGCUUGUGUCUCAGCAGAAGCUGCUAUGCCCAUCUGAGAAGCCUUUUGGGGCAGGCCUCUGUGCAGUGGCGUGUGUUUCCUGGGGCUGCCCAGUUGCCCGUGUCCCUCUCACAAAGUGCUGACUCUCACAGACAUGGGGUGGGGGGUCCAUAGCCCCUCCCUGUGAACUUCGGGGGCUCAUGACAAUAGAGGAUCAGGAAGCCAUGCCACACAACCUGGAGCCUCAGCCACAUCACUGCUACCGCGUCCUCCUGACUUGCUCUCAGGACCCUGAAAACCCGCCACCAUGCUGUGAGGAAGCCCAACCAGCCCACAAUGGGGAUGCCCACGUUGGGGGAGCUGAGGCCACCAACCAUGAGCUGGCAUCAAGCUCCAGACAGGGGAGUAAAGGAGACCUCUGUGACCCCCCCAGAUGUCAAGGUAGUUCCACAAGGAGCCUCGAACCCCACCCUGCCCCCUCAGACUUCCUCAGCAACUGAGGGGAAAGUCCACCCCUUGUUGUCAGCUCUGCCUGGGCCCUGCCAGCUGCUAGUUUUAGCUCUGCCCCACUGCCUGGGCUCUCAGGUGAAGGGACUGGCCAGGGGCACGCCCAGGCCGCAGCAGCCUCCCUCCACGGUCCUGUGGCAGGGCACCAGCUGGGCUCAGCCAUGUCUGACGGCACCCACUUGGGCCAGGAGCCUGAGGUGUGGAGGCCCUGGAGACCCAGGAGAUUAGCACUAAUUAUGCAAUGUGUGUGUGUGUGUGUGUGUGUGUGUGUGUGUGUGUUUGUGUGUGUGUGUAUGAGUGCAAUGAAGCCAAUCAUAUAAUUACGUGGUAUGUAUGUGAGUGUGUGUGUGUGUGUGUGUGUGUGUGUGUUUGUGUGUGUGUGUGUGUGUCUGUGUGUGUGUGUGUGUGUCUGCCCUGGCAGGUUUGGCAGGUGGGGUAAACUCUGGGCAACUGGGCUGGAGGCCGCCUCUCACACAGCCCUAGGCCUCUGAGGCGCUGCUCGCUGCUCUGCUGUGCAGAGUUACAGCCUCACCUCUGGUUCCUCACGCAUGUGGUGGCUCCCUCCCACCUCAGGGCCUCUGCAGGGCUACCCCCCACCCCCGCCAUGUCUGGGUGAGGUCUCUGGCCCCACCAUUUACACCAGCGUCCCCCUAAGCCCGCCUCUUUCUCAGCAGCACUCGCCACCUCCACGGAGGACGCUACUUGUUUGUUUUACUCAGCACCUUCUCUCCCAGACCCAGAGGCCCUGGGCACAGGGACAGAGGCAGGGAUGCUGGCUUUGCCUCCUCUCCAGCAGGGCUGACCACAGCAGGGCAGAUGCUCAAUCCAGGUUUGACGAAGGGAGGAAAGAAGAGAUGCAUUUGGAUGUGCCUAAGCCAAGGAGAGGGUGGGGGCUCAGCUGAGACCCAUCCCAGCAAUUGAGAGGGGGUGGGCUCAGAGGUGCUCUGAGGCCUACAGCCAAGUGGGCGCUGUUGCCGAGGGCUGGGGAGGGGUCAGGUGGGUGCUGAGGAGCCUGUGGAGGGUGGUGCUGGGUGGAAGAGGUUGGCAGGGACAAAGGGGCAUGUCAGGAGCAGGGCCAGCCUUCCCGCCUGGGGCUUGGCUAGGAGUACAUCCCUGAGCAGAGGCCCCUCCUGAUGGAGGGCGCCUGUGGCAGGCUCUCAGGUCCAAGGGCUUCAGUGUCCUCAUCCAGAGGGUGGGCAGCCAUCACCAUGGUGGCAAUGACCACCUUGGGGACAGCUGUGAGGACCCCUGCCCAGGUCAUCGCAGGCCGGUCCCCUGAGAACUGCUUUGGUGUCACGGCCGGCAUCACUGCUGCUGCUCUGUGUCCUCUGCUCCUGUCCCCAGGCAGCCACUCAGCACACGUGGGGUGGGGGCAGGGCCGGCUCCCCGCCUCGGCAGGCGUCUCCAUUCUCAUUUCUCUUUAAUAAAGAAAACUCCCGAGUCCCCUGCUUCGGCAGGAGAUGAAUCCUCAUGUCCUUGGUUGCAAGCAGCCAAAUUAAGAAAAUUACUUUCUAACUAAUUUUCUUGCGCUAACGAACAUCUGAUGGCGGGCUGGGGAGGCUGCACCAAGCUUUCGGGACAGACGCUUUUGAGGAUGAGCAAUAAUUGGGGAUUUGCUGGGGAUAAAUCUCAGCAAAUUAAACCCCUUCAAGUACGCCUAUAAACCAGGUCAGAUGACAAACGCCUCAUGUCGCUGAGCAAGUGCAGGGACGCUGUUGGGAGAAGCAAGGAUAAGCAUAACCCCUGCUGGGCCUGAGGACCCAAGCGCAGACAUGCACAGGCGGCAAGGGGCACACAGGCUGACACCUACACACAAAGCCAUGUAGCCACAGGUCACAUCAAGAUACCCACGGCAGAAUCACCGUCACACACCUACAGAGGUACCCGGAAGAAACAUGUAAUGCUUCCCAUGCAGGCGCGCAGCCCCGCCAUGGCCGCACAGGGACACCACCUCUCGGACACAGGCAUGUGACAGACACAUGUCAACACUCAGGGGUACACACAUUCCCCUUUCACUGAAAGCCACAAACACCCGAGCUGUCUGAGGGCUCUACCGUCAAGUCAGAGGCAGGAUGGCAGCCGCCCUGAGCUGCCCCUAGCCGCAAGCCUGUCUGCUGGCAAGCGUCCUCUGGACUCAUUCCCACUCCUCCAGCCACAGGGGCAGCCCCACUUGCCACCAUGUCAACUAGACAAGAGGGCCACCAGGGUUGGUUGACCCUGUGUGCCCUGAAGUGCCGGCCGGCACAUGUCAGGGACCAGCAGACACACCUGCUCGCACCAGGGCCUGGUGCACACACACAGGCUGCCUGCAGACACGGUUCAGGAGCCCCCCAUAGCUGAGCAGCAGGCGGGGCCCCUGCCCACCACCAUCUGUCACUCCUGUGCAGCGGCAGUGGGGGGUUAAGCUGCAAGCAGCUGGCAUGUUAAUUACAGGUUCUUCUCCAGGAAACAUUCGAAACAGCAUUUUGGGGAGAAGACCACGAAUGACACAUGCUGAUUUGGAAGCAGAAGGGCCGCCCAGUGGCUCUGGCAAGGAGGCCCGGGGCAGGGAGACAGACCCCAGCUGGCCUGGGCAUCUCAGACACAGCAAGAGUCGCAGCCUCGUGGGACCAGUGCGUGCUGGUGGGCAUUCUGGCCCCCUCUCCCCAUCACUGUCCCAGCCUUCCCCAGUCCUGACCUGCACCAUGCAGCAUGUUACCAGCUGCCUCCCACAGCACAGGCCUGCUGGAGUCCGGCGCUGGCCUAGCCUGGCCUGAAUUCUGCUCUGUCAACUCGGUCAACUCCAGGAGCAGCUGGCAUGUCAGGGCUGCCCAGGCCCAUGGGAGGAAGGAGCAGCAGAGGGCCACCAACCAUGACUGUGACCACAGAUGAGAGCACCAAGGCUGCCCAAGGAGGGCAGAGUCUCUCCCAGGACGACAUCCCUCUGGUGGCACUUGGGACCACUGCCCCG
rnacentral:lncRNA from 1 species